AGCGCGGCCACAUAGGCUAGACGCACUAUCUUCUCCUCUACCCCGCGCCGCCCUCCACCUCGGAGCGGGGACGUACGGUGGUGGCGGUGACACAAUGCGAGUGAGUGGCCUUUGGAAGGAAUUGGGCCAUGAGAAGAGCCCUCAUGAAUGGGAUUAGUUCCCUUAUAAGAAGAGACACCAAGGAAGUGAUCUUUCUCUGCCCUCUGCUAUGUGAAGACAAGGUCAUCUGCAGUUUUUUGUUGUUGUUGAUGAUCUUCCUGUCAUAGACAAUGCUGUAACAAACAGACUAUCCACAGGUUUUCUACUUUUUUGAGCUAAAUCGUGAUGAAGCAGAUGAUAAUCUGAGGCUCGCCUGCUAUAUUGUGAAAAUCCCUCUGUGCUUGUAAUAAAG
rnacentral:lncRNA from 1 species